rnacentral:rRNA from 1 species
CCAGACUCCUACGGGAGGCAGCAGUGGGGAAUAUUGCACAAUGGGCGGAAGCCUGAUGCAGCAACGCCGCGUGCGGGAUGACGGCCUUCGGGUUGUAAACCGCUUUCGCCUGUGACGAAGCGUGAGUGACGGUAAUGGGUAAAGAAGCACCGGCUAACUACGUGCCAGCAGCCGCGGUGAUACGUAGGGUGCGAGCGUUGUCCGGAUUUAUUGGGCGUAAAGGGCUCGUAGGUGGUUGAUCGCGUCGGAAGUGUAAUCUUGGGGCUUAACCCUGAGCGUGCUUUCGAUACGGGUUGACUUGAGGAAGGUAGGGGAGAAUGGAAUUCCUGGUGGAGCAGUGGAAUGCGCAGAUAUCAGGAGGAACACCAGUGGCGAAGGCGGUUCUCUGGGCCUUUCCUGACGCUGAGGAGCGAAAGCGUGGGGAGCGAACAGGCUUAGAUACCCUGGUAGUCCACGCUGUAAACGGUGGGUACUAGGUGUGGGGUCCAUUCCACGGGUUCCGUGCCGUAGCUAACGCUUUAAGUACCCCGCCUGGGGAGUACGGCCGCAAGGCUAAAACUCAAAGGAAUUGACGGGGGCCCGCACAAG